CCCUUAGAUGUUCUGGGCCGCACGCGCGCUACAAUGAUGAAUUCAACGAGUUUAUAACCUUGGUUGAAAAGCCUGGGUAAUCUUUUGAACUUUCGUCGUGAUGGGGCUAGACCCUUGCAAUUAUUGGUCUCCAACGAGGAAUUCCUAGUAAACGCAAGUCAUCAGCUUGCAUUGAUUACGUCCCUGCCCUUUGUACACACCGCCCGUCGCACCUACCGAUUGAAUGGCCCGGUGAAAUCUUCGGAUUGAGACUUUGAUUUCUUCACGGAAAACGCUGUUUUAAAAAGUUGAUUAAACCUUACCAUUUAGAGGAAGGUGAAGUCGUAACA
rnacentral:rRNA from 1 species